UACGGAGGAUGCGAGCGUUAUCCGGAUUUAUUGGGUUUAAAGGGUGCGUAGGCGGGCUGUUAAGUCAGCGGUCAAAUCGUGGGGCUCAACCCCAUCCAGCCGUUGAAACUGGGUGCCUUGAGUGGGCGAGAAGUACGCGGAAUGCGUGGUGUAGCGGUGAAAUGCAUAGAUAUCGCGCAGAACUCCGAUUGCGAAGGCAGCGUACCGGCGCCACACUGACGCUGAGGCACGAAAGCGUGGGGAUCGAACAGG
rnacentral:rRNA from 1 species